GCCAUGCCGCGUGAAGGAUGACGGCGCUAUGCGUUGUAAACUUCUUUUGUACAGGAAGAAACACUUCUACGUGUAGAAGCUUGACGGUACUGUACGAAUAAGCAUCGGCUAACUCCGUGCCAGCAGCCGCGGUAAUAAUCACU
rnacentral:rRNA from 1 species